rnacentral:misc_RNA from 1 species
GAAAUGCGAUAAGUAAUGUGAAUUGCAGAAUUCAGUGAAUCAUCGAAUCUUUGAACGCACAUUGCGCCCCCUGGUAUUCCGGGGGGCAUGCCUGUUCGAGCGUCAUUUCACCACUCAAGCCUCGCUUGGUAUUGGGCGACGCGGUCCGCCGCGCGCCUCAAAUCGACCGGCUGGGUCUUUCGUCCCCUCAGCGUUGUGGAAACUAUUCGCUAAAGGGUGCCGCGGGAGGCCUCGCCGUAAAACAACCCCAUUUCUAAGGUUGACCUCGGAUCAGGUAGGGAUACCCGCUGAACUUAAGC